UACGGAGGGUGCAAGCGUUGUCCGGAAUCACUGGGCGUAAAGGGCGCGUAGGCGGCUCAUGAAGGCUGUGGCGAAAGUCCGGGGCUCAACCUCGGAUCGGCCGUGGCGACUCGUGGGCUGGAGCACUGUAGAGGCGGGUGGAAUUCCGGGUGUAGCGGUGGAAUGCGUAGAGAUCCGGAAGAACACCAGUGGCGAAGGCGACUCACUGGACACGUAUUGACGCUGAGGUGCGAAAGCGUGGGGAGCAAACAGG
rnacentral:rRNA from 1 species